rnacentral:rRNA from 1 species
ACAGAGGUCCCAAGCGUUGUUCGGAUUCACUGGGCGUAAAGGGUGCGUAGGUGGUGGGGUAAGUCGGAUGUGAAAUCUCCGAGCUCAACUCGGAAACUGCAUUGGAAACUACCCUGCUAGAGGGUCGGAGGGGGGACUGGAAUACUUGGUGUAGCAGUGAAAUGCGUAGAUAUCAAGUGGAACACCAGUGGCGAAGGCGAGUCCCUGGACGACUCCUGACACUGAGGCACGAAGGCUAGGGGAGCAAACAGGA